CGCGGUGUUGGAGCUGAAGUCCGGGCGGGGGCCGAUGUGGGGGCUGGAGGCUUCGGGCGGCGGAGGCGGGAGCCGGGGAAUGAGCAUGAGACAGUGGGGACUGAGGGCUGGCUGCAUCCCCCUGAGAGCCAUCGCUACACCAGUGUUGCUGCUCACUACUCCUAACCUAAAACUAGGUUACUCAGGAGUCUGAACCGAGAGAUCCUUUCCCGUAAGGAAGAGGAGAGAGGUGAAUUUGAGAGACUGAAGGAAACAACUGGACUGUAGGCCUGUUAGGAAGUUGGAACGUGAAAAACAAAUGGUUGGAACCUAAUAUUCAGAGCCCCCUUCCCUAAAGGGGAAUGCCCCGUCCACACCAGCAUGCCUCGUGGGACUCUAACAGGAGGCGGAAACUGUCAGUGUUCCUGCCCAAGACUUCAUAUCCCCUCGAGGUUGGAUCCCAGUUGUGACAGAAGGACAGAUAUGGUGACAGCCUAAUAUGGUUAGCAGCAAGUACCAUGGCAUUUGAGUCAGCAUUGACGAAUGGGACUGCAGAAUCUCCCAGCCCUUCUGUCCUUGACCCCUCUGGAGUCUGGAGAGGAAAGUAUCGAUUGCAGCAUCACUGGGUGCUUCCCAUGGAGCCAGCAGGAGCACAGAUAAGAAGGGUCCUGCCCACUGGCAAGUAGCCAGCCACUGCCACUCCCCAGCUUCCCAGCCACUUGAAAGGCUAAGGGAGAAGUGCUCAUCCAGAGUUGAAGGAGGCCAAAAGGACUUACAGUUCAUCAGCCUUUCCCCCUUCCUCUGGCAGCCACUGGAGCUAAGCGAAAGCUGAAAUUGUAGCUACCCGCUCUGUGGGUUGCACACUCCCACUCCUGUCACUGACCCCAGGCCUGGGCCUGAGCCCAGCGCGUGUGCCGAGAGCAGGGGUGGGGAGGGGGGUGUUGGCCUUGCUGACAAAAUCCAUUUGGAAUUUCUGAAGGUUGUGGUUUGGGGCUUAAGUUUGCCACAGAGUGUGUCUGAUGAAAGAAGAGAGAAAGCUAGAAAGAGAGAGGGAGCCAAAGAGAGUACAGAGGAAGGAAACAGGAAAAAGCUGAAAUAUUCUUGCUGUGACUCCAUUGCAGAUUCUCCUCCCUCUUCCUGAGUGUGAGAAAUUCCCAUUCUGGAUAUUCCUUAUCAUAAUUCUGUCUCAUAUCCUAUGUCCAUUCUAGCUGUAUGCCCUCUCUCCUCCAUUCCCCAUACAUACACUAGGCUCAGUCAGUGCCUGAAGGUAUCUCCCUGGCUCCAUCCAAUUUCCAAACACAGAAUUCUCAACGCUUAAGUGGAAAUUCAGUACAUAAAACUUUGCCAUAAAAUAAUACCCUAACUCAACACACUCCUCAAAAUGCCCUUGCUACCAUGGUGCUACCUUCAUUUCACCUGAUUUUGGGGGUAAUUUGGGUUGCAGAUAUAUCUAUUGCCUAGAGGAGUGGAGAGAACUCUUCUACAUUCCCUGGGCAAGGAGAUGACCUGCUAGAAUCAGCAUCUUGCAACCCCAUAAGUAUUCAGUUAUUUGUAAAGUUCUAAAUGUGGGAUGCAUAUCCCUUUUCCAAAUUGAAAGAUAACGGUUUGUUUUCAAAGAUUUUGAGCUAGGAAUAGAAAGAUUGGAAUAAAAGAAAUUCUACUUUCUCUAGUUAUGGGUAUCUCCUAAAAGAUAACAGAAUUACUUUACUAAGAUUAAAUGCAGAAGAGCUCUGAAUAAGAAAGGACAACAUAUAUAUGCAAAUAAUUUAGUGGUAUAGCAUGCUGGUUUUGCUGCUUUCCAGAGCAAAAAACUCCAAUUUUGAGCAUAGAAUUCCCUUUUAUAUGUUUCCCAUUAGUCUAGUGUCUACCUCCCAAGUUUUCUGGUUUGAAGCCAGAGAGAAAAGUACCAGUUCUUUUGGGUCCAACUUCGAUGUUGAGAUAAUUUUAGGACUUGAAAACCCCAGAACAUAGGUGACCUCAUGAUGUAGGGCAGGAGUCAACAAACUACAGCCAGAGGACCAAAUCUGAUCCUGCAGUCUGUUUUUGUGAAUUAAGUUGUAUUGGACACAGCCACGCCCAUUCAUUUAUGUAUGUUCUAUGACUACUUUUGAUGUACAAGAGCAGAGUUGAGUAAUUAUGGCAGAGUUGAGUAGUUGCGACAAAGCCCUCAAACCUAAUAUAUUCACUAUCAAGCCAUUUACAGGAAAAUAAAAAAAUGCUGACCCUUGUUCUAGGGCAGUGACCCAGGCAAAAUCUGGAGUUGAGGCACAUAGAGAGUAAAUGGGGCCUGUGUCUGGAUCUCUAGCCCUUCUCACCUAGAAGUCUCCCCUGGU